rnacentral:rRNA from 1 species
GACGAACCGUGCGAACGUUAUUCGGAAUCAUUGGGCUUAAAGAGCGCGUAGGCGGCGUCGUAAGUUGGAGGUGAAAUCCCAUCGGCUCAACCGUGGAAGUGCCCCCAAUACUGCGAUGCUCGAGGGAGGUAGGGGCAUGUGGAACUUCCAGUGGAGCGGUGAAAUGUGUUGAGAUUGGAAGGAACGCCAGUGGCGAAAGCGACAUGCUGGAUCUCUUCUGACGCUGAGGCGCGAAAGCUAGGGUAGCGAACGGG